GACGAACCCCGUCGGCGUGCUUAACACAUGCAAGUCGAACGGAAAGGCCCUGCUUUUGUGGGGUGCUCGAGUGGCGAACGGGUGAGUAACACGUGAGUAACCUGCCCUUGACUUUGGGAUAACUUCAGGAAACUGGGGCUAAUACCGGAUAGGAGCUCCUGCUGCAUGGUGGGGGUUGGAAAGUUUCGGCGGUUGGGGAUGGACUCGCGGCUUAUCAGCUUGUUGGUGGGGUAGUGGCUUACCAAGGCUUUGACGGGUAGCCGGCCUGAGAGGGUGACCGGCCACAUUGGGACUGAGAUACGGCCCAGACUCCUACGGGAGGCAGCAGUGGGGAAUAUUGCACAAUGGGCGGAAGCCUGAUGCAGCAACGCCGCGUGCGGGAUGACGGCCUUCGGGUUGUAAACCGCUUUCGCCUGUGACGAAGCGUGAGUGACGGUAAUGGGUAAAGAAGCACCGGCUAACUACGUGCCAGCAGCCGCGGUGAUACGUAGGGUGCGAGCGUUGUCCGGAUUUAUUGGGCGUAAAGGGCUCGUAGGUGGUUGAUCGCGUCGGAAGUGUAAUCUUGGGGCUUAACCCUGAGCGUGCUUUCGAUACGGGUUGACUUGAGGAAGGUAGGGGAGAAUGGAAUUCCUGGUGGAGCGGUGGAAUGCGCAGAUAUCAGGAGGAACACCAGUGGCGAAGGCGGUUCUCUGGGCCUUUCCUGACGCUGAGGAGCGAAAGCGUGGGGAGCGAACAGGCUUAGAUACCCUGGUAGUCCACGCUGUAAACGGUGGGUACUAGGUGUGGGGUCCAUUCCACGGGUUCCGUGCCGUAGCUAACGCUUUAAGUACCCCGCCUGGGGAGUACGGCCGCAAGGCUAAAACUCAAAGGAAUUGACGGGGCCCCGCACAAGCGGCGGAGCAUGCGGAUUAAUUCGAUGCAACGCGUAGAACCUUACCUGGGUUUGACAUGGAUCGGGAGUGCUCAGAGAUGGGUGUGCCUCUUUUGGGGUCGGUUCACAGGUGGUGCAUGGCUGUCGUCAGCUCGUGUCGUGAGAUGUUGGGUUAAGUCCCGCAACGAGCGCAACCCUUGUUCACUGUUGCCAGCACGUUAUGGUGGGGACUCAGUGGAGACCGCCGGGGUCAACUCGGAGGAAGGUGGGGAUGACGUCAAGUCAUCAUGCCCCUUAUGUCCAGGGCUUCACGCAUGCUACAAUGGCUGGUACAGAGAGUGGCGAGCCUGUGAGGGUGAGCGAAUCUCGGAAAGCCGGUCUCAGUUCGGAUUGGGGUCUGCAACUCGACCUCAUGAAGUCGGAGUCGCUAGUAAUCGCAGAUCAGCAACGCUGCGGUGAAUACGUUCCCGGGGCUUGUACACACCGCCCGUCAAGUCAUGAAAGUUGGUAACACCCGAAGCCGGUGGCCUAACCGUUGUGGGGGAGCCGUCGAAGGUGGGACUGGUGAUUAGGACUAAGUCGUA
rnacentral:rRNA from 1 species